AGAGUUUGAUCCUGGCUCAGAUUGAACGCUGGCGGCAUGCCUUACACAUGCAAGUCGAACGGUAACAGGGAGCUUGCUCCGCUGACGAGUGGCGAACGGGUGAGUAAUAUAUCGGAACGUGCCUGGUAAUGGGGGACAACUAGUCGAAAGAUUAGCUAAUACCGCAUACGCCCUACGGGGGAAAGAGGGGGCUUCGCAAGAACCUCUUGUUAUCAGAGCGGCCGAUAUCUGAUUAGCUAGUUGGUGAGGUAAAGGCUCACCAAGGCUUCGAUCAGUAGCUGGUCUGAGAGGACGACCAGCCACACUGGGACUGAGACACGGCCCCAGACUCCUACGGGAGGCAGCAGUGGGGAAUUUUGGACAAAUGGGCGCAAGCCUGAUCCAGCAAUGCCGCGUGAGUGAAGAAGGCCUUUCGGGGUUGUAAGCUCUUUUGUCAGGGUAAGAAACGGUCCUGGGAUAAUUACCUUGGGGGCUAUGACGGUACCUUGAAGGAAUAAAGCACCGGCUAACUU
rnacentral:rRNA from 1 species